rnacentral:rRNA from 1 species
UACGUAGGUGACAAGCGUUGUCCGGGAUUUACUGGGCGUAAAGAGCGCGCAGGCGGUCGAUCAAGUCGAGUGUGAAAGCCCCCGGCUCAACUGGGGAGGGUCAUUCGAUACUGAUCGACUCGAAGGCAGGAGAGGGUAGUGGAAUUCCCGGUGUAGUGGUGAAAUGCGUAGAUAUCGGGAGGAACACCAGUGGCGAAGGCGACUACCUGGCCUGUUCUUGACGCUGAGGAGCGAAAGCGUGGGGAGCGAACAGG